UCGGGUUGUAAAGCACUUUUGUCCGGAAAGAAAACUUCGGCCCUAUACGGCGGGAGGAUGACGGUACCGGAAGAAUAAGCACCGGCUAACUACGUGCCAGCAGCGCGGUAAUCGUAGGGUGCGAGCGUUAAUCGGAAUUACUGGGCGUAAAGCGUGCGCAGGCGGUUCGUUAAGACAGAUGUGAAAUCCCCGGGCUUAACCUGGGAACUGCAUUUGUGACUGGCGAGCUAGAGUAUGGCAGAGGGGGGUAGAAUUCCACGUGUAGCAGUGAAAUGCGUAGAGAUGUGGAGGAAUACCGAUGGCGAAGGCAGCCCCCUGGGCCAAUACUGACGCUCAUGCACGAAAGCGUGGGGAGCAAACAGGAUUAGAUACCCUGGUAGUCCACGCCCUAAACGAUGUCAACUAGUUGUUGGGGAUUCAUUUCCUUAGUAACGUAGCUAACGCGUGAAGUUGACCGCCUGGGGAGUACGGUCGCAAGAUUAAAACUCAAAGGAAUUGACGGGGACCCGCACAAGCGGUGGAUGAAUGUGGAUUAAUUCGAUGCAACGCGAAAAACCUUACCUACCCUUGACAUGGUCGGAACCCUGCUG
rnacentral:rRNA from 1 species